CCUCAAGGCAGCAGCUCACCACAGAAGACAGAUGGCAAACAGGCCCUUCAGAAAUUGCCAGCAGGGACUCCACAAGCUCUUGAUGCAGCUAACACUGGAGGAGGUUCUUCAAAUUGCAAAGUGUGGUUCUCCUUGAAGAUUUACAGCACACCUGCAGCAGCAGAAAGGACCAUAGAGGUGGAGUGCAGAGCUCUGGAUACUGUUGGAAUUAAUAUUCCCAUCACUAAUCCUACCAAUAAAGUUCUCAAGAUGAGUGUGCUGCU